GACGUAGGGCGCGAGCGUUGUCCGGAUUUAUUGGGCGUAAAGAGCUCGUAGGCGGCUUGUCGCGUCGACUGUGAAAAUCCGCGGCUCAACCGCGGGCCUGCAGCCGAUACGGGCAGGCUAGAGUUCGGUAGGGGAGACUGGAAUUCCUGGUGUAGCGGUGAAAUGCGCAGAUAUCAGGAAGAACACCCGGUGGCGAAAGGCGGGCUCUCGGUACGAACUGGAUCAUGACCGCUUGGAACGGGCUGAAGGACGGAAACGGAAAGCCGGUUGGGGGGGGAAGGCCGGAAAACCAAGGGGAAUUUUAAGGAAUUAACCCCCCCGGGUUAGGUUCCAAGGAUCCCCAA
rnacentral:rRNA from 1 species